UACGAAGGGGGCUAGCGUUGCUCGGAAUUACUGGGCGUAAAGCGCGCGUAGGCGGUCGUUUAAGUCUUACCGUGAAAUGCCGGGGCUCAACCCCGCGCACGUCGGGGGAUACUGGACGACUGGAGACAAGUAGAGGCGAGCGGAAUUCCGGGUGUAGCGGUGGAAUGCGUAGAUAUCGUAAGGAAGACCAGUGGCGAAGGCGGGUCUCUGGACAGUUCCUGACGCUGAGGCACGAAGGCCAGGGGAGCAAACGGG
rnacentral:rRNA from 1 species